UAGAAAAAAGCUGCUGCAGCCCUCGUCCCCGCCGGAAAUCGCCUCCGAUUUUCGUUUGGCCAUAUCUUCCUCCUCCGGCCACCGAUCCUCACCAAACUUCUUCCAUUGGCUUCGUAUGGUCCUUGCGCACCUGUCUGUGGCAGCCUUGCACGGCGGCACGGCCCCUAGCGGCGGCGGCGGCCCGGUUUCGAUUUAAGCUCGAUUUUGGUCAACGCCGGUUUUCUCCUAGCUCCGGCCACCAAAACUUCCGAUCCUUGGCUCCAUGAACUCCCCUCAACCUGCUGAUCAUCAUACUAGGAGGAUUGCACCUAGAGUGACCGGUUUCACGUUCGUCGGAGCUCGUGAGUUCUCCUUGAUGUUCUUAACAACUCUCUAGAAGGGAUCGAAGCCUGAAAUUGAAUUUUUGACGUCGAAAUCAAGCCUUGCCGGAUUCUGCAAAUUUCGCCGGAUUCUGGAAAUUUUCCGGCCACCUCGACUGUUUUAGGUGAUUGACGGUCUUCCUUGGGUGAGCGGUUUUGGUGUGUAUUGUGUUGAAUUGAAGACGCAGCGGGAAUAUCGAGCGGGUAAUCCUACAGGUCAGGAGAAUCAGGACGGUGAUCGUGCGGGUUAGAGAAUUUGUUUUAGUUUACAGCAAUUGUAAUUGUGAGGUGAGUUAUGCUCAUUUGAACCUUACAAUAUAAUUUGGUGAGAGUGUGCUGUAAUAAACAAAUUUGAGAUUUGGUUUAUGUAAUAUCGAGCGAUGUGAGGUGUGGUUGUUUUGAGAAAAAAUUCAGGUUGUAUUUAUGUGAGUUGUAUUAAUUCAUGUUUCGGAUUUGAAUUUGUUAUUCAAAAUUCGGGGCGUGACAUGGAUUUAAACAGAUUCUAAUGUAUUUUAUUUUGCAAGAUUUGUUUGGAUUUUGA